UGGGGUGACGUCAAGUCCUCAUCGGCCCUUAUGGGUAGGGCUUCACACGUCAUACAAUGGUCGGUACAGAGGGUUUGCCAAAGCCGCGAGGUGGAGCCAAUCCCUUAAAGCCGAUCGUAGUCCGGAUCGUAGUCUGCAACUCGACUACGUGAAGUCGGAAUCGCUAGUAAUCGCAGAUCAGCAUGCUGCGGUGAAUACGUUCCCGGGUCUU
rnacentral:rRNA from 1 species